GCCCAAUCCUGCUUCCUUCCCUUCCCUUCCAAGAGUAUUCCCUCCUCAGCUUCCUGCAUGCCAAUCUGACCCUUAAAGUUAGCUUCCAAGCUGCCAUAGCCACGGUCAGGUAACCUAGGAUGGUGAGAAAAAGGUUUUGCUCUUUUGGUUUCCAAGCAAUUAGAUGCUUCCAUGUCACCUAGUUACCUAGAGUAGUUGGCCUACGUGAAAGGAAGAGAAGUCAUCCCUCAAAAAGUAAUUCGCUGAACACUUAUGAACCCACCACCCAGCUUGACGACUAAAAUAUUACCAAAUAUCGGUGAAAAUCCAGUGUGCGGCUAUUGCCUAAUGCUACCCUCCUACGUUCCCCCAAAGCAACAGGAUCCGAAGGAAACUUCUGACAGCUUUGGGGACAACAAGAAACACAGAUGUGCUACCUGCAAACCCUUGAGUUCUCCAUCUUGCUCGCUGUCUCUGAGGGCUGUGGGAAUCCAGGGGCUUAUCCAGUCCGAAGGGAAGUCCGCUGUCUUCUGACAUCAAGAGGAGAAGGAUCUGGAGACUGAUGAAUAUUGGAUAGCGUGGUAUGAGAGGAGUCAAGAGUUACUC
rnacentral:lncRNA from 1 species